rnacentral:rRNA from 1 species
UUGGAGCUUGCUUCGAGGGGAUCAGUGGCGAACGGGUGAGUAACACGUGAGUAACCUGCCCCGGACUCUGGAAUAAGCGCUGGAAACGGCGUCUAAUACCGGAUACGAGACGCAACCGCAUGGUUAGUGUCUGGAAAGUUUUUCGGUCUGGGAUGGACUCGCGGCCUAUCAGCUUGUUGGUGAGGUAAUGGCUCACCAAGGCGACGACGGGUAGCCGGCCUGAGAGGGCGACCGGCCACACUGGGACUGAGACACGGCCCAGACUCCUACGGGAGGCAGCAGUGGGGAAUAUUGCACAAUGGGCGAAAGCCUGAUGCAGCGACGCCGCGUGAGGGAUGACGGCCUUCGGGUUGUAAACCUCUUUCAGCAGGGAAGAAGCGAAAGUGACGGUACCUGCAGAAGAAGCACCGGCUAACUACGUGCCAGCAGCCGCGGUAAUACGUAGGGUGCGAGCGUUGUCCGGA